rnacentral:ncRNA from 1 species
GAUCCUUUAGACCUUCAGAAUUUGAAGCUAGAGGUGUCAGAAAAGUUGCCACAAGGAUAACUGGCUUGUGGCAGCCAAGCGUUCAUAGCGACGUUGCUUUUCGAUCCCUCGAUGUCGGCUCUUCCCUUCAUUGUGAAGCAGAAUUCACCAAGUGUUGCAUGUCUAGUACCCAACAAUGAAUGAAUCAUCCCUGUCCCUCCCUUUUUGCAAUAAGAGCCUCCGGCACCUUUGGCCCCCGGUCGUGCGAUAGCCUCGUACACUAUCGGCAGCGUGUGCCAUCCCGUGGUGCGGGGCCAUCGUGCACCAUCGGCCCCUUUAAUGUGUCGGAGCAUUGGGCAACAUCGGUACCUUGGUGCAUCGGAUGUGCAGAAGGGUCGAGCACCAAAGCUAAUUUUGGGCCCCCGUUGGUGCAGAAGCUUCGGCACCAUAAAGUGUCCCUGUUUUAGACACAUGAAUGUCCCCUGGUAGCACAUUGACCAAGUUUUUUUAGCUCUUUAGGGGGGAGGUGAUUUUGAGGGGAAUAGGGGUU